rnacentral:lncRNA from 1 species
AACAAACCAACUUGCAAUGAAACAAAUGGUUGUGGUAAAGGAGGGAAAAGCAAUUUCCCACUUGAAAAAAGUUCAAGUUACUCAAAACAGAACUCUUCAUCUGCUUUCAUUUCGGAAGCUCCUGAGUGGCUCAGCAGGUUAAGGAUCCCAUGUUGUCACUUCAGUGGCUUGGGUCACUGCUGCCGUGGGGGUUUGAUCCCUGGCCCGGGAAUUUCCACAUAUUGUGGGUGUGGCCACGAUUUGGAAAGCUACAUGGGGUCCUCACCACCACCCUCGUGCCGUGGUCAUCCCAGCCCGUCCCUCCCCGAGCUCCAUUCGCCCAAUUACUUACGAGGUCUCUACGUUGGCUUCCUUAGUGCUCCUUAAAUCUCUCUGCUUCUGACCACACAGGCCCCUUUCCUCUGCUACCUCCAGGUGGACCUCUCCCUGUCUUGCUUCCGUGGUGAUGGAGCUGACUCCUCCCCAGGCUCUCUCUGGGCUCGGUCCUCCAGGCAGCAGGGUACACAGCAGCCCCGUCUCUGCAGCGCCCUUCACCGCCUCCUGCCACUCCCCAGCUCAGAACCUUCAGUGACGUCCUCUGAUUUCCAGAGCACACAGUGGCUCCGUGCACAGCUCAUCAUGCCCACCAGCCUGCCCAGUCUCAUAGCCCCUGGCCCUGCCCCUCCCCUUCCACCACAUACAACAGUUGAAGGUCCCCAAACAUCCGCUUGGUGCAGAGCCUUCGCUGUGCUGGCCGCAGCUUGGAAUGCUCUUCCCUCCCACCCUAACCAUUUUCCCCGGUAGACUCCUGCCUCUCAAGAGUCGGCUGAGCCUCCUUCUGCAAGGAGUUUUCACUUUACUGGCUCCUCAACACCCAGUCCCUUUCAAGCACCUAUAUCCCUGUGUCUUUGUCUAGUGUUGGUUAUUUGUGUGUCUGUCCAUCUGUCUGUCUCCCACACUGCUCUGGCUUCCUUGAGGAUUAGGAACUGUCACAUUUGUGGGGUUUUUUGUUCGUUUGUUUGUAUUUUCUAGGGCCGCUCCCUCGGCAUAUGGAGGUUCCCAGGCUAGGGGUCCAAUCGGCCAACCUAUGCCAGAGCCACAGCAACACGGGAUCCAAGCUGCAUCUGCAAUCUACACCACAGCUCACAGCAACAUCAGAUCCUUAACCCACUGAGUAAGGCCAGGGAUUGAACCGGCAACCUCAUGGUUCGUAAACGGAUUCAUUAACCACUGCGGCACGAUGGGAACUCCUUUUUUGUUUUUUGUUUUGUUUUUUUUUCUUUGGUUUUUUUGUUUCUUUUGUUUGUUUGCAUUUUCUAAGGAACUGUCACCUUUUGAAUGAGGUAAGGAAUGAAUGGACAGUAUCGAUCCCUUACAUUUGCCCAGCUCUCCAUGUUUUUUCAAAGCAUCGUGUAUGUGUUUGAGAUUGGAAGCUGUGCCCCAAAUCGUCUUCAAAGUACCACCUCCACCUGCCACAUAUUAAUUUAUCCUCUGGGCAAGUUUGGGAGCGAGGAGGAGUGUAUUCCUCCUCCUUUCCUGGUAGUGAAAGUGGGAUGCGUGAUAAUGGGGAGAGCCUGCUGCUCAAAGCCAUGCAGCUGGCACGUGGGAGGCCCAGGAGGCAGACUGCCUGUGUUCUUGGCCCUUCCCACCUCAUGUCCCCACCGGUGGCACUGGCCUGGCUCCCCAGUCAGCCCUGGGUGGCUCCCCACAAAGAAAUGGAGAUGGUGAGACAUUUAAAACACUGCCUCCUCCAUUUUUCAGCCACGCUUUCAGAAGGCGCGGGAGGGGAAACCAGGAGAUCUGACGUGGAACCCGCAGCUCUGAUGAGUUGAGGAUGAGCUACUCAAGGGUCCGCUGUCUUCCACAGCCAACAGCUUCCGGAGACAAAGCAGAUUUGGUGUGUGCGGAUUUCCCCUCUGAAGGGAGUACAAACUCACUGAUCCCUUCCACUUGAACCAGGCCUCUGCUGCCAGGGGAUCCUUUCCAGAACGUAACCACUGGAGGGAGAGCAGAGCCACCUGUCUCCUGACUCCCUGGCCCACAGACCACAUCCCUAGACUGUGCACAAACCGUGACGGAAACCGUGGCUCUUGGCUCUGCCCAUCCAGCCAGAUGUGGGAAAAAGACAUCAGGAGGGCCUUGGUCUGGCACCCCUGGGUGCCAUCCUCAGCUGGUCUUUGCGUUCAUUCUGACCCAGACGGCGAUCCUGGGCCCCCCUCUACUCAAGCAGGUGUUGGAGGAGGUCACUGGGAGGGCGUGGUCAUCAAAGGCUCCUCCCCUCCUCCUGGCCCACCCACGUAAGGUGCGUUCUGCUUGCCUCUCCCCACUAGAAGCUGCCCAAGGACCCAGCCUUGAAAUCAUAAGCUGCUCUGUAGACCCUCUGGAAGGUGUAUGUGUUUGUACCCAGUCACAGCCUCUAUAUAAACCUUUCAGAUUCUGACUGGGAGAGGGCACCAAGACCUGCUCAUCUUGCACCUGCCUAGGACAGGACAGGCUUAUGUGUAAGGUCCCUUGCUUAUGAAACCUGCCAGCUACCAAUUUAAUAUCUGCUGCUUUCCUGUCUCUCCCUCCCCUCUGCGUUCAGGGAACCCAGUUCCGAUUAUACCCAGGGAAGUUCCCGAGGUUUUGAAUUAGCAGCAGGGCCAGAGGGGUAUCUUCAAGAUCUUCUUCCCAGGAGAAGUGGGCAGUGGGGGGGGGGCAGCGGGGGCGGAGGGCAGGUUGUAAGGGUUGGGGGGAUGCUGAAGGGAGUUCUUCACCCACCUCAGAUGCCUCUGCAAGUUAUAGUAUGGAGCCCUGGGAUAGACACUCUCCCUACAAGGACCAGAAAGUCACAUAGCUGAGCUCAACAAACUUUUGUUUUCUUUUUGGCCAUACCCUGGGCAUGCAGAAGUUCCCAGGCUGGGGACUGAACCUGUGCCACAGCAGUGACAAUGCUGGAUCCUUAAUUGGCUAGGCCACCAGGGAACUCCUCAACCAGCUUUUAACAGGCACCUAUGAUGUGCCAGCUAAUUAUGCCAAGAGCCAGUCAGAUAGGGGUAAUUUUUUUUUUUUUUUUUGUCUUUUUACCUUUUCUAGGGCCGCUCCCACAGCAUAUGGAGUUCCCAGGCUAGGAGUCUAAUCGGAGCUGUAGCCUCUGGUCUACACCAGAGCCAUAGCAACACGAGAUCCAAGCCACGUCUGCGACUUACACCACAACUCACGGCAACACCAGAUUGUUAACCCACUGAUCAAGACCAGGAAUCGAACCCGCAACUGCAUGGUUCCUAGUCGGAUUCAUUAACCACUGUGCCACAAUGGGAACUCCCAGAUAGGGAUAAAUUUGACCUGGCCUCUCACCAGGAAAAAAAAAAAAAAAAAAAGCAUCUAUACAUAUAGAAAAAUAACCAUAAUACCUGGAAAAUGGUGACAAGAGAUGCAAGCAAGGUGCUUUAGGAAAGAUGAUUUCCCCGUGGGAAUUCAGCAAAGACUUCUGGAGGAGUGGCGUUAUUUAAGCUGAACUUUGAAGUGAGGGUAAAAUUUGGACGUGAGACAUUAUUGUUUGGGGAAUGGGGUGGGUGGAAUAGUAAAGAGAGUGAAUGAAGGCUUUUCUAGCUGCAAUGUCUGUUGUCGAAUUCUAUCACCUGACAUUGCUGAUAUUUUACUGUUUCACCUACAGUAACAUGGAUGUCAGAUGCUAGAAUGUAACACUUCCCAGGGAAGUGGAGACAGGGACCCCAGGUUGUAGAGAGAAAACAAGGAAGGAGUUCAGUGUCUAUCCGUAGCUGGUAAACUUUGCACCCAGUUUCCCCUUUUGACCAUCUACAGAUAGAAAUCUAGGGAUGGCAUUUUCCUGAUAUUGCAAAGUCGGUCGAUUGUCCAAAGACUUGCACUUUCGAAUCAGACUGAACUGGAAGGCACUAUUGCACCCUCAAGUCUGAAAGAUUUGAGUUCAAAUCCUGGCUCUACAACUUGUGAGCUAUAUGACCCGCUUCGUGACCUUCUCCAUACUUGGCUCACCUGGAAAUCGGUGGUAAUAACAGCACUGCCCUUCCUCCUAAGAUCGUGGAGAUGAUUAUGGGAGGUGAUGCCUGCAUUGCUUAACGCAACAGCUGGCCCUCGGGACCUACCCAGCAGCGCUGUAACCCUGUGUCAAGAGGCACCACGGACAUGGUAGCCACACAUCAUAAAGGCAAUGCCAUCCUCAUUUCGGUGGAGGUGACAAGACUGUGACCUAUUUUAGCACCUCCUUCAGUCAUAAGCAAAGGAGGAAAGGAGACAAACGGAAACACAACGCUUGAGUUUCUCAGGCCAGGUGACAAGAAUAACCAGGGCUGGACCUGAUCCUGUAAAGCCCUUCGAUUGCAUGCAAACUUCAGAGCAAACCCGCUAAGGAAUUUCAGUUCCCAGGUCUCCCCUGGCAGGCACACCUGGCACAGAGAUGGGUUCUUUGCGCAAAAGCCUUUCUGCCAAGCGACCAACUCAACCACCAUGGAGUGGUUCCUGGGAAAGCAGCCGAGAUCCCGGGAUGGCAGGCUUGCUUGGGCACCAGAGGUGCAGGAAAAACAGACACUUGGCUUUCCAGGAAAGGAAAUCUCGGCCAAUUAGGAAAAUCUAAAACCAGAGAGGUAAGGCAGCCAAGGGCACAUCCCGUCUGGAAAGCUCGGGGUGGGGACAGGCACCAACCCGGAUGAGGGGUGGCUAACCCGUCUUGGUUCCCAGCCUGCCACUUCAUCUGAAGCCAUUUCCUGCUGCGCAUGGGGACAGCGUCCUACCACCACCAGGAAGACUGGCUUGUGUAUUUUAUCAUCAUCAUCAUUAAGGAUUUUUAAAUGAAAUUUGGGAUUCGAACGUCAAUAGCCCUUGGGAUGGGCCGCUGCUUGGAGAGUAAGAGCGCUUUGGGAACAUUCUCUGCCAGCCUCCCCUGGCCCUCCCGCCUGCCCUUCCCCCUCAUCACUGUCCUUGGCGACCUACAUCUCCAACCAGAGGGGUGUAGGACCAUCAAGGGGGCCUGCUCUGUCCCCGUUUCCGGCAGGUUCCUCAGGCCAGCUUGGCUGGCAUCUUCCUGCUUCUGGGUUCAUUUUCUACCACUCCCUCCCACCCAAAAAGAAUUGGUGGAUAUGGGGCAGGAGUGCGUUGUGAACAUCCUGAGACAGGGUCCUCUCUGGGGACCAGAGCCCCCUGUAAAAGCGCUCAGGGCAGCACUUCUCGCUGCUGCCCCGAACAAUUUCCUCGCAGUUUAAAUUUUCAUUUAAAGUCACCAUUUCCAGUCCUACUGACAAGUCUGCAAGGUCGGAAAGUGGCCCUGGCUGGGAGCAGCGGCGCGGGCAGCAGGCAGCCAGGCCUGGCCGGUGUGUUGACAGCUGGGAGCCAUCCUGGCGGCCUGGGGACCAGUUCACGCUGCGAGAUCGGUUCCGCCCACCCUGACUGGGCCAGAGCUCCUGCCAUGCAGCUCCAGGCCCUCGCACUCAGGAGGCGUCUUCUCUGUCGUUCCCUUUGCAGCGUCAGCAGGCCUGGCUCUUCACCUCACCUCCUCGAGGGAGCUCUGGAGAAUUUCCCCUCUAAUUUCAAAGACAGCAUCUCCUACUCGGUCCCACUGUGACUGCCUUUAAAGACUAAAGCUACCCAGGGAGAUCAUUCGGCCAAAGGUCAGAGGGCUCAGCCCCAUGCCGGGUCCCCUGAUGCAAAAUAAGUGAGUCCACGGGCCCAUCUCGGGAGAAAUGGGACAGGAGGACCCCCAGGGUUGAGACCCCUCUUGCUCAUGGAUUCAAGUUCCCACGUAUACUGGCAGCAGCCCUGGAGUGGAGUCUUUCCUCAGGAGGUGACAUUGGCAUUGCAUCUUGAAAAAGGAAGAGGCGCCAGGGGAGAGGGACAGCAUUUGUCAAAGGCCAGGAGACAGGCAUUGUGAGCCCUGGGGCUGUUUCUGGUUUGUGAAAAGCAGGAAGUCCCCUGAGCGGAGUCUGCAGAGAGGCCUGGAGCCAGACCAGGAAUGGCCUCCCGGGUAAAUGUUCAACAAGCAGCUGUGGGCCGAACUGGGCAAGUUGCUGACAUGUAAUAUCUGUACCAAUUUCCGUGGUGUAAAUACCUCCCUCCAUGGCAGGUUUCAAUCUACCAAUAGUUUGACUCGCAACUCACAAAAAUUCCUGGAGAUUUAACAGUCAGUUUGCAAACUGGCAAAGGCCAGCUCCAACAGCAAUGGUGCUUCACACAUCAGAUGUAACCGCCCCCCUCCCCGUCCCCACUCCCCCAUUCCCUGCCAAAAAAUCUCUACAAAGGCCUUGGGGAAGGGGCCCCAUUAAUUAACCCAGUCUCCCUCACCUCUCCUUGCCCAUAGCUGUUCCUUCUAUCUGCCUCAUGGACACAGGCGUGAAGCUCAGUCACUUUUCCUGGAGAUCCACAAAAAAAUGCUCCCUCACACAGCGUAGCCACCCUGUGGAGGGGAGAAGGCCCACAUCACAACGAUGCUAAUGACAUCAAAUGUUAAACUGCCCAUUCCUAAAUUUCUCCUUUGCCAUUUCCAUCAUGCUGGGCUUUGGUUCCUGCCAUAGUUCUUUGUCCCCCUCUCUCCAAUCUUGACCAACUCCCUCUGUCCUUGACACACACCCCCCUUCCCCCAAGCCCUCCUAUCUAUCAAAGAGAGCAAUUUGGCCCUUUCUCCCCACCCCUGGCCCAGGCCUUCACUGCUUGGUGCAAAUCCAAGCCACCAAUGGCUAGUUCCAGUCCGAAGGACUUCUGGGCAUGGAGAGAAAUAUUGACCAUGAUUUAUAUCUAGUUUAAUGCCCAUUUAAUGUCCACUAAUCUUAUGAAAUUAUAGUUUAAAAUUAUGAAGAGUUUAUCAGCAUUCUUUUAAAUAUGCACACAUUGCUAGUAGCUACUAAAUUAAACAUUCAUUGUAAACAACAAUGUACCACCACACACCUGUCGGACGGACCAAAACCCAGAGCACGGACAGCACUGAUGCUGGGAGGAUGUGGAGCAACAGGAACGCUCAUUCAUCGUUGGUGGGAAUGUAAAAAAAUGGUGCAGCCAACAUUUCUCACAGAGCUAAACAUAGUCUUACCAUCCGAUCCAGCCAUCUCCAUCCACGGUCUUUACCUAAAUGCGCUGAAACUCGCCCACACAAAAACCUGCACACAAAUAUCUAGAGCAGCUUUUUCAUAAUUACCAAAACUUGGGAGCAACCAGGGAGUCCUUCAGCAGGUGAAUGGACAAACUGAUACAGCCAGAAAAUGGAAUAUUAUUUAGAACUAAAAGGGAAGAAGAAGAAAAAAAGAAAAAAAAAAAAAAAAAAA